GCUGGGUGUGGUGGCUCAUGCCUGUAAUCCUAACGUUUUGGGAGGCUGAGGCAGGAGGAUCACUUGAGCCCAGGAACUCGAGACUAGCCUGGGCAACAAAGUGAGACCCUGUCUCUA
ensembl:misc_RNA Metazoa_SRP Metazoan signal recognition particle RNA